rnacentral:rRNA from 1 species
GACGAACGCUGGCGGCGUGCUUAACACAUGCAAGUCGAGCGGUAAGGCCCCUUCGGGGGUACACGAGCGGCGAACGGGUGAGUAACACGUGAGCAAUCUGCCCUUCACACGGGGAUAACUCCGGGAAACCGAAGCUAAUACCCGAUACGACCACUUCAGGCAUCUGAUGGUGGUGGAAAGUUCCGGCGGUGAAGGAUGAGCUCGCGGCCUAUCAGCUUGUUGGUGGGGUAACGGCCCCCCAAGGCAACGACGGGUAGCCGGCCUGAGAGGGUGACCGGCCACACUGGGACUGAGACACGGCCCAGACUCCUACGGGAGGCAGCAGUGGGGAAUAUUGGACAAUGGGCGAAAGCCUGAUCCAGCAACGCCGCGUGAGGGAUGACGGCCUUCGGGUUGUAAACCUCUUUCAGCAGGGACGAAGCGCAAGUGACGGUACCUGCAGAAGAAGCACCGGCCAACUACGUGCCAGCCGCCGCGGUAAAAC